GUCAGGUUUGGCAUAGAACACAAUGCUUCUGCAAGGUUAUGUAAUGAGGCUGGUGUGGGACAAAGGAGAUCAUCAAGCUUGACAGUCUGGACCUGCAUUGUUUGUCAAUAUAUUUAAGCAUCACGUCUAUACAUGCAUAUGUUAUAUUUACUAAUUUCUGUCUGUAUUCUUACAUUUUAUACUGUGAGGAUCUUAUUCAAAUUAGAUAGUUCUUUGUGAGCCCAUGUAAAUUAUACAAGGAUCAUAUGCAAAUUAGAUGUUCUUUGUGAGCCCAUGUAAGUUAUACAAGGAUCAUAUGCAAAUUAGAUGUUCUUUGUGAGCCCAUGUAAGUUAUACAAGGAUCGUAUGCAAAUUAGAUGUUCUUUGUGAGCCCAUGUAAGUUAUACAAAGAAUAAUAUGCAAAUUAGAUGUUCUUUGUGAGCCCAUGUAAAUUAUACAAGGAUCGUAUGCAAAUUAGAUGUUCUUUUGUGAGCCCAGUUAUGAACAGGUGCUUAAUGUAGAUUUCCACUUCACUAGAUGAAUAGCUAAGUGUAUUCAAGUGUACACAAUAUCUAGGUUCUGUCAGGUGUAUAGAAUUGCAGACUCUUUGUAUGACACAUUUUCAUUUGUGUGUGCUAGUAAAAAUGCACAUGCAGACUGCUCACUUGGAUAAUUGAUCUUGAAGAGAGAGGUCUGUGUUACAGUUUUGGGGGGUAUUUCCAAGGAAAGAAAUCGGUGUGGUGUGGUGCCAUGCAACCAAGUGCAUGCUGAGACUGUUCUUCCCUCUUCUCAAUGCUGAAUUACGGCGGUCAACCUACGGGUCAACCUCGGCCAUACGUAUAGUCAACCUCGGACUACGUAUACUCGGGCAACCUCGGCUAGGACAGAGUCGGGUGUUUCAAGGUCAUUCAAGGGUUACCUUCAACCAGAUCAACGGAGCGCAUCUCUAGCUUUCCACUGUACAAGGCAAUCACUCGCCGUCGCUACUGGUCAACACACGUUCGUCGUUGCAGUCGUCGCAUAUAGUUUCAUCGAAGUAUCAAUGUUAAAUGAACUCAGAGAAGACAAACAUUUAUUUAAGCUUCAUUGAAUGCCAGUAUCCUAUUUACAGAUAAUUAUUAUUUUGUAAACGACAAUAAUAUGAUGUGUUCUAUUUGAGCAAGGAUAUUUCUAAUAUCCUCCUUGAUUUGAGUUACAUUAAAUGUUUCAUUCAACCUAUAUUUCUGGAAUCCUUUGGUAGUAUUAUUCAGGUUGGUUAAGUAGCCUAUUCUAGAUUAGUGAGCUAAUACAAGCGAGCUAUCGCACGUGACAUAUACAAAUUCCUCAAAUUACAUAGUUGUAUUCAUAAUAACAUUCUCAACAAAACGAUUGAAUAGAUUGUAUUUUCUAAUUCAAUUCUUGUCUAUUGAGAAAAAGAACACACUAAGGUUUCUAUUGAAAGGAUUAUUUAGUAAAGGCAAUUU